AUGCCCCUGCCAGUACUUCAAGCAAGCCAACAAAGGAACAGCCAAUCAGAGAGCAAAUCAGAGGGGAGACAGAGAAACGUGCACACAACUAAUAAGAUCUCCCCGGGACAAGCGCAGGGGAGGGAAGAAAUGCAAGAUCAGACGGCCACGACGACGAGCUCGCCGCCUUCCAGCAGCGACAGGUCGUCCAGCUCCAACUCCAAGGAAGGGAUGGACAGCGACGACGACAUAGGGAGGGUGCCGGAGUUCCGGCUGGACCAGGGGGGACCAUCGACGUCGGGAAGGGAGGCAGCGUCCGCCGGGACGUCGUCGGAGCUCGCGCAGUCGGCGACGGCGGCUGCCCAGGCCAGCUCCCGCCGCCGCGGCCGCAGCCCGGCCGACAAGGAACACCGGCGACUCAAAAGAUUGUUGAGGAACCGGGUGUCGGCGCAGCAGGCACGGGAGAGAAAGAAGGCUUACAUGGGCGAGCUGGAGGUGAAGGUGAAGGACUUGGAGACGAGAAACUCGGAGCUCGAGGAGAGGCUCUCGACGCUGCAGAAUGAGAACCAAAUGCUUAAACAGAUACUGAAGAACACCACCGGUAACAGGAGAGGACCGGGUAGCGGUGCCGGCGGGGACAGCUAG
rnacentral:rRNA from 1 species